rnacentral:misc_RNA from 1 species
AUUUUAUUAUUUUUUAUUUUUAUUCAGUGCAACCUAUUGUAUGUACCAUGAAUACUCUUAACUCUCACUAUAUAGGACCCACAUGGGACUCACCAUUUUUCCAUCUGUUAGGGUGAGAUUUUCUGGAAGCAAAGCUCAGAAGGUCCUGGUAGCAACAGAAAGAAUAAUACCUGCCCAGCCAGAAAACGUCAUCGUUCAAAGAACGUAAUCAACUUUUUACUCAUUCUUAUCUCUCCUUGAAGCCACCGCCAAGAUAACAAUGGUGGAUUUAGCAGAAUAGAAGAGACUUCUGAACUGGUUCAAGAGACAGAUUUCCUGGAAUACGACUCAAGAUUAUGACCCCAAUAUAAUAGAGAGAGCAACUUUUAGUGGCAGCGGCUGCAUAUGCCAUUUCAUCAUUGGAAGAAUCGAGAAUUCAAGAACCGAAAAAGAUCAGCCAGGCACUGAACCUUCUGUGACUCCAA